rnacentral:rRNA from 1 species
GGAUGCGAUCAUACCAGCACUAAAGCACCGGAUCCCAUCAGAACUCCGAAGUUAAGCGUGAUUGGGCGAGAGUAGUACUAGGAUGGGUGACCUCCUGGGAAGUCCUCGUUUUGCAUUCC